AUUAUUUUGGCAGAAUAGUGCAUUAAAUUUAGAAUUUAAUUAUAUAUUAAAAUUUAAUAUAAAUAAUA
rnacentral:tRNA from 1 species